rnacentral:tRNA from 1 species
AUUCUAAUAGUUUUAAAACAUUAAAUUGCAAAUUUAAAAUAAUGAUACUAUUUUAAUA